rnacentral:rRNA from 1 species
AAUACGUUCCCGGCCUUGUACACACCGCCGUCACACCACGAAAGUCUAUUGGACCAGAAGUUACGGGGUCUUCCUGUACCCAAGGUCUGAUCGAUGAUUGGGGUG